GCCUCAUUAGAUCAGGGGUUAGAGCACUGGUCCAGUAAACCAGGGAUCCAGAGUUCAAAUCUCUGAUGGGGCU